UAGUCGGCGGGGUAACGGCCCACCGAGGCGACGAUGCGUAGGGGUUCUGAGAGGAAGGUCCCCCACACUGGUACUGAGACACGGACCAGACUCCUACGGGAGGCAGCAGUGAGGAAUAUUGGUCAAUGGGCGGGAGCCUGAACCAGCCAAGUCGCGUGAGGGAAGACGGUCCUAUGGAUUGUAAACCUCUUUUGCCGGGGAGCAACGGGGUCCUUGCGAGGGCCUAAUGAGAGUACCCGGAGAAAAAGCAUCGGCUAACUCCGUGCCAGCAGCCGCGGUAAUACGGAGGAUGCGAGCGUUAUCCGGAUUUAUUGGGUUUAAAGGGUGCGUAGGCGGGCUGUUAAGUCAGCGGUCAAAUGUCGGGGCUCAACCCCGGCCUGCCGUUGAAACUGGUGGCCUCGAGUGGGCGAGAAGUAUGCGGAAUGCGUGGUGUAGCGGUGAAAUGCAUAGAUAUCACGCAGAACUCCGAUUGCGAAGGCAGCAUACCGGCGCCCGACUGACGCUGAGGCACGAAAGCGUGGGUAUCGAACAGGAUUAGAUACCCUGGUAGUCCACGCAGUAAACGAUGAAUGCUAGCUGUCCGGGGCUUCGGUCCUGG
rnacentral:rRNA from 1 species